UACGGAGGGUGCAAGCGUUAUCCGGAUUCACUGGGUUUAAAGGGUGCGUAGGCGGGCAUUAAGUCAGUGGUGAAAUACCUGAGCUUAACUUGGGAACUGCCAUUGAUACUAUUUGUCUUGAAUGUCGUGGAGGUUAGCGGAAUAUGUCAUGUAGCGGUGAAAUGCUUAGAUAUGACAUAGAACACCUAUUGCGAAGGCAGCUAACUACGCGAAUAUUGACGCUGAGGCACGAAAGCGUGGGGAUCAAACAGG
rnacentral:rRNA from 1 species